AGAGAGUAAUUCCUGCUGGGCAGGACACUGCCUGCUAAGUAGUUGGUUCAUGCGUGAAUGAAGUUCGAUUCUUCUGCUCUCUGCCA
rnacentral:tRNA from 1 species